UGGUGCAUUUUACAGAGCGUUGAUUGGU
rnacentral:piRNA from 1 species